rnacentral:lncRNA from 1 species
UUUUUUUGCGGUGGUGGGGUAGGCACCGGCCAGUUUUUCUGCGUCUUGGAAGUGGCAACCCUACCUCAGAGAUGGAAGGUGAUGUGUAAGGAGGAAGAUUUUUCAUGCAAGAAUUUUAUGGACAAACAUUUGCAGAACAUUUAGUGGAGGGAUAUCUUCUAUUGCCAUAAUGGAUGAUGGCUUUCUUUAGGGAGCCUAUCAAUGUACUUUGCCUUUUCAUUGUUUCUCCACAGCAUGUGUUUAAAUCAUUAAAUGAAUAACCCCACCCCCUUCAUCCUUAUGUGGCCAGCAGGAACAAGAGAACUCCAACACCACCUACUCGUAGGACAAAACAAAAGAUAGGAAAACAAAGAACCCAAACCAAUAUUUUGCAACUUCUUCAUUGCAACUCAAUAUGAAGCAACUAUACAUCAUUUCUGCCAUUAUGUGGAGCUGUGUGAAAAUAUAAAUUAGCAGCACUGGGUAUGUGCAGUAACAUGAUUCCAAGAUGGUGUAUUCCAGCAGUGAGCAAGUGGUGGUAGUUUCUCCUGAGAUACAGCAGAAGCUCAGAACAGUAGCUCCCUAAGGAGCUGCCAGCAAAGGAUUUUACAUGCAGCAGUUGUCUUGGAACAGAAAUGCCAUUUACCUCAGCUGUGGAAAGAAAUAUCCAAGAGAUGGCAGUGGUGGGGAGGCACAAGAUAGAGGUGGACUGAGCUAAUGCAAAGACCAGCACUUACCAAUUCCCAGCAGCUUGAGGGGACUUGAAGGGCCUCAAGCCAUGGCUUGAAGAAACAAGAAGAAGGCUGUCAAAGUUUCUCACGUUUGGAAAGGCUGUGAGCAUGAAAUGCUUCCUGGUCUUUCAGCAUGCAGGUAGUAAGGAAAAUGUAGCAAAAUGUAGCAAAAUCUGAUAGGCUUUUCUGGCUGCAUCUGAGUUUAAUAUUAACAGUCAUCAGUUAACUUGAAUUGAUGUCCACCUUUUUUGUGAUUUAUUUGGCAGUUUGCUCUUAGCCCAAGGUAUGAUUUCCAGCUCUGACACAGAGAAACAAAGCUUUUCAUUUCACUUCAAAGACCAUUAAAAUCAGUACGGGGAAUGGAUUUGCAACACUAGUUGUCAACUGCUUCAACAAAUAGACCAAGACUU